CUGAUUGGUUGCUAUGGGCAACUGGUCCACUUCUCCUCUCCACAGGAUUUGAUCCCUGAUUGUCUUCAUAUAUAGGAUGAGAAUCUUCUGACACAAAACAAGCACCUUCACUCAUAAAAGACGCUGAUAAAACCGCUGUCACAUAUGCCAUCUGAGGAAAUCUUCAGAAAGAAGUUGAAGCCUAACCUAUCCCAGCCUCUCUAGAGAGAGAAAAUAAGGUGAGGAGGCCAGCCAGAGAGUAUAAUAUCAGGCAAGAAUAGAGUGAAAAUAUCCAGUUGUGCUUUGAGUAAGUAAAGAGGAGAUGUAAGAACAAUCUAAAUCAUGGAAGGUAGAAGGUCUUAUCUGUGGGGGUAGGAUUCCAUAGUGUGAUACUAGCAAAUACUGUGAGACAAGUAACAAGCAUGUUUGCCUGCUUCAGCUACAACAUGGAAAAAUGCAUACCAGGUCCUCCUGCCUCUGAACUACACUGUUACAGACCAACACCUGAGAGCUCCACAUUAUCAAAGGAUUCCUAUCAGGGAGCCAGGAAUACUGUGAACCAAGGAUAUCUGUCCCUGUGAUAAAGAAACAGAACACUAAUAGACUAGCGUUAUAGAGAGACUGCACACUGCUAAUAUUCAUAUGCCCUGGAGAACUACUACCACCAUCAUCUAAGUACAGCCCUCUCUUCCCUUUGCCAGCCUAAGGAGUGUGGGAGUGUGAGUGCACGCCAGCUACCUUGACCUAAACCUAACCGUGACAACUCUCGCUAUUUCCAUAGUCUCUUCCAUUAUUCCAUCUAUGCUUCCUUUGCCCUCCAUCUACACUACCAUAUUCACUUAGUGGUGAUGCAUACAGCACUGUAUGCAUGGCUGCUCAGUUGCACAUAGAUGAGUUUAGGUGGUGCAUUGCUGUCUUGGACAAAAAAAACUAAGAUUAUUUUGGAGUCAGUUUUUUUGUAAUUCAUUAGAUGAUCAGCUCUUCAUCAGGUUGUCUCUUCAAUAGCCGCAUCACUAGCACCAAGGAUUAUAUUUUGAGAAGAGAAAAUUGAAUUCUAGGAACAUAGCUGGACGAGUUGAGGUUUCAACAACAUUUUCUUGAACAAACACAGUUCAGACAAAAAAAUAGUAUUGAAAAGUACUGAAAAAGUUGUAAUACAAUGUAAUACUGUAAUAUCUGAAAUCAAGGUGGAUCAAAUCAUAAAUAAUGAUUAAGGCAAAUACCGACAUCAACAUUAAGAAAAUGAUAACACAAAUAAUAAUGUCAUAGAAAUAGAAAUAACUGAAACAAUAAAGAUGUA